GCUGUAUUUUUGUGUUUGUUAUUCGUCGCAAUGUUUUUGACUCAAGAGAACUAGUUGCCGGCACAACUUUAUCAGCUAGAACAUUUUAUAUACUCGUGUUUGGUUGUACAUACAUAAAUUUUAACAUGCAUGCUCUUAUCAAACCAUGUAGAAAAUAAGUACACGAAUAUUAUUUUAAAUGUUUUGUUCAAAUAGACGUACAUAUGACACUAAACAAUACGUGGUGUAAGAGCAAUACGACUUUUUGAACGUCUAACAGAUAAGUAUAUAUGCUUUUAUAAGGUAUUUUGAUGCUUUUUAAGUAGUUUAAUUAAAAAAGGACAAAAAAAUAUAAAGCAUUAAGAUUAUAAAUGCAUCCACCAAUAUAAGUGACACAUAUUCAACAAAACUAAAGGGAUCAUCACGUAAAUGUCCAAUUCCAAAAUUUUGUAUAACCAAUAUAAUAUUAUUUUUUAAUUGUUUGGUUAGCUAACAUUCCAUUUAGCUAAAGAAUCUUGCUGCCCUAUGGAUCUAUGCAAAAGUGAAUGACCGCAAAAUUUAACUGGAAAAAGAAAGCAACCGGUUUUCACUGCAAAUACAAUUCAUACCGAUAUUUUGUUGUUUUGAUAGCGUAACAGCAGGUGCAACAUAUUGAAUUGGGGCAGAUUUUUAACAAACAAUAUUCGAACGCUCACUUACCAGCUAGUCCAAAUACAACAACAGCCGGUACAUAAAAUGCCAAAUUGGGAAUGCUUUGUUGGAAUGGUGAUGAUGAACCAGUUAAAUCAACCAUUUUUUACACAAUCAAUUUUAAAAGUAAAUAAAGUAUAUAAAUAAAUUUGAGAUGUGAAGACAAAAAGUCGGCUUUACUAAAGCUUCGUCUGGUUGAAA